GGGUUCGAUUAUGGCUCAGAACGUACGCUGGCGGCACGCCUAACACAUGCAAGUCGAACGAAGUAGCAAUACUUAGUGGCAGACGGGUGAGUAACAUGUAGGUAUCUACCCUUUGGCCUGGAAUAACACGAGGAAACUUGUGCUAAUACCGGAUAAGUCUUUACGGAGAAAGCUUUAUGCACCAUUGGAUGAGCCUGCACUUGAUUAGUUUGUUGGUGGGGUAAUGGCCUACCAAGACUGUGAUCAAUAGCUGAUUUGAGAGGAUGAUCAGCCACAUUGGGACUGAGACACGGCCCAAACUCCUACGGGAGGCAGCAGUGGGGAAUCUUGCACAAUGGAGGAAACUCUGAUGCAGCGAUGCCGCGUGAGUGAAGAAGGCCCUUGGGUUGUAAAGCUCUUUCGUCGGGGAAGAAAAUGACUGUACCCGAAUAAGAAGGUCCGGCUAACUUCGUGCCAGCCGCCGCGGUAAUAC
rnacentral:rRNA from 1 species